AAAUCUUGCUGCUGCUCACGCUUGGUCUGUGCUACCUUUAAGAGCUGUAACACUCACCACCAAGAUCCGUGGCUUCAUUUUUGAAGUCAGCGAGACCAAGAACCCACCAGAAGGAGCCAAUUCUGGACACACUGACCUGCCCUGGGGAACAAUCAUAAUGGCUAAGGACAAACCUCUUUAAACUACUUUAUGGAGUCUGGUUUUCCAGUAACAUUAUAAAGGCUAUUACAAAAGAUACCACUGAAGAUGAGAGGUGAAGCCAGCUGGACUUCCUAGAUCGACUGGGGACUUGGAGAACUUUUCCAUCUAGCUGGAGGAUUGUAAAUGCACUAAUCAGUGCUCUGUGUCUAGCUAGAGAAUUGUAAAUGCACCAAUCAGCACUCUGUGAAAAC
rnacentral:lncRNA from 10 species